GUAAUUAUAGUUUAAUCAAAACAUUAGAUUGUGAUUCUAAAAACAAAAGUUAAAAUCUUUUUAAUCACC
rnacentral:tRNA from 1 species